GCAAAUCGAGGGAGAAAGUAAAGGGGGACGAGUACAGCGGCGGACGGGUGAGUAACGCGUAGGAAUCUACCUAGUAGUGGGGGACAACUCGUGGAAACGCGAGCUAAUACCGCAUACGCCCUACGGGGGAAAGCGGGGGAUCUUCGGACCUCGUGCUAUUAGAUGAGCCUGCGUAAGAUUAGCUAGUUGGUGGGGUAAAGGCCUACCAAGGCGACGAUCUUUAGCUGGUCUGAGAGGAUGAUC
rnacentral:rRNA from 1 species